rnacentral:rRNA from 1 species
CCUACGGGAGGCAGCAGUGGGGAAUAUUGGACAAUGGGCGAAAGCCUGAUCCAGCCAUGCCGCGUGUGUGAAGAAGGCCUUCGGGUUGUAAAGCACUUUCAGUGGGGAAGAAAGCCUUGGGGCUAAUACCCUCGAGGAAGGACAUCACCCACAGAAGAAGCACCGGCUAACUCCGUGCCAGCAGCCGCGGUAAUACGGAGGGUGCGAGCGUUAAUCGGAAUUACUGGGCGUAAAGCGCGCGUAGGCGGUCUGAUAAGCCGGUUGUGAAAGCCCCGGGCUCAACCUGGGAACGGCAUCCGGAACUGUCAGGCUAGAGUGCAGGAGAGGAAGGUAGAAUUCCCGGUGUAGCGGUGAAAUGCGUAGAGAUCGGAAGGAAUACCAGUGGCGAAGGCGGCCUUCUGGACUGACACUGACGCUGAGGUGCGAAAGCGUGGGUAGCAAACAGGAUUAGAUACCCGAGUAGUC